rnacentral:lncRNA from 1 species
GAAUGGCAUUUAUAUAUGACAAUAAAAAUUGAUGUCUUUCCCUGAAGGGGUGAAUAAGUUAAAUGAACAACUGUUUCUAAGGAAUAUCAAAUUCACACCUCCUAUUAAGUGUCUGGAUAAAUAAGGAAAAUAGAAUCUACGACAGCUGAUAUCGGGCAGUUCGUCUGUAUGAAGUGACUAUUAAAAUGUGUAUUCAAUAUUUUAAGGCCAGAAGAAACAAUAUUCUAAGAAUAAAUACGAAUUAAAGCUACCAAAUCACUACCCAUUUCCUUAAAUACUCAUUAAUGUUUUCAGGCACAGAGUAGAAGUGGUGAUAUCCCCCUGCAUUGUAUAGAGAGAAGCAAACAUUCAUGAUUUAGAUAUCCACUACACAAAUUCAAAAAUGUGAUUUUUAAGGGCUAUAACAAAAAUAGGAAACAUAUUUUAUUAACAAUAAAAAAUUAAAUUCCUGUUUUCAACUGUAUCACUUGUUAUUAGUUUUUUCUUCUUCUUCUCAUUGUUAAUUACUCUAUUACUCUUUAGUUUUGAGCUUUCAUCCCCAACCCCAUUCCCAGACACUGAUUAAUUUGCUUUUUGUGAAUAUAUAUUAGUUUGCAUUUGGUGGAAUUCUAUAUUAAUGGAAUUAUGUAACACGUACUCUUUUCUUCUUUCAGCUUCUUUCACUCAGCAUAAUUACUUUGAGAUUGAUCCAUGUUGCAGCAUAUGUCAACAAUUCCUUGCUUUUUAUUGUAACAUACCACUGAAUGGAUAUACCACAGUUUAUUCUUUCAAGUUUUUUUGGAAUAGCUGGAUUAUAUGAUAGUUGUAUGGUUAAUUCUUUAUAAAAACUGCUUAACUGGGCCAUGCAUGGUGGCUUACACCUGUAAUCCCAGUAUUUUGGGAGGCCAAAAUGGGUGGAUCACAUUGAGGUUGGGAGUUUGAGACCAGCCUGACCAAUGCGGAGAAACCCCGUUUCUACUAAAUAUACAAAAUUAGCUGGCGUGGUGGUGCAUGCCUGCAAUCCCAGCUACUUGGGAGGCUGAGGCAGGAGAAUCACUUGAACCUGGGAGGCGAAGGUUGUGGUGAGCCGAGGUUGUGCCACUGCACUCCAGACUGGGCAACAAGAGUAAAACUCCAUCUAAAAACAAACAAACAAAUAAACAAACAAACAAACAAAAACUGCUCAACUGUUUCCAAGUGGUUGUAACUUUAGGAAACUAGAAUCUGAUGAUAGGAAUAUACAAUCAUCAGAUUUCUGGUUUUCUAUAUCCUUGUUGACACAUGGUAUGCUCAGUCUUUAAAUUUUAGUCACUCUAAUAGUGUGCUUUUGAAAAGAAUGUGUCUUCUGCUCUUGGUGACAUUUCUA